AUUUAGGACCAAAGCAGUAAAAUACAUAUUAAAAUCUCAACUUCCGUCCAACUUCAUUUGGUCAAUUUAGAAUCUCCGAUCGCUUUCCGUUACAAUGCUCGGCGGCUUAUACGGCGAUCUCCCUCCGCCGUCGUCCUCCGGCGACGAUGACAAGCCAACCAACGCCACCACAGCUAAUGUGUGGUCCAGCAGUGCUAAGAUGGCUCCUUCAGCCCUUCGCAAACCCUUCGCCCCACCCCAAACACUUCUUCGACCUCAGCCGAAGCCCAAACCGCAGCCUUCAGCAGCUCCAAAACCUAAUCCAUCGAUCCCUCUUGACGAGAACACUAAUCCAAAUCCCACCUUUGCAACGACGUCGUUUCAACCAGCCCUGGUGGCUGUUACCAGCAGUGUAUUAGAAGAAUACGACCCGGCUCGGCCGAAUGAUUACGAAGAUUAUCGGAGGGAGAAGAAGAGGAAGCAAAUGGAGGCUGAGGUGCGGAGAGAGUUGGAAGAAAGAGAGAGAAAGGAGAGGGAGCGAGAGAGGGAGGAAAAGGAGAAGAGAGAAAAAGAGAGAGAAUUGAAUAUUUCAGGUGAGGAGGCAUGGAGGCGGAGGGCGGCAAUGAGUGGAGGUGGUGGAGGAGGAGGCAGUGCUCCCCCACGCUCGCCUUCGCCACCAUCAGGGAAUGAGUUUAGUAUUGGGAGGUCAGAGAGUGGGGGUUUGGGAUUGGGAGCGGAAGGAAAGAUGACAGCUGCACAAAGGAUGAUGGCUAAGAUGGGUUGGAAGGAGGGUCAGGGACUUGGAAAGCUGGAGCAGGGAAUUACGACUCCAUUGAUGGCUAAGAAGACUGAUAAGAGAGGUGGGGUUAUAGUGGCUAGUGAAGCAAAGCAGCAGCAGCAACAGCAGCAG
rnacentral:misc_RNA from 1 species